rnacentral:rRNA from 1 species
GUCGACGGUGAACACGGAGCUUGCUCUGUGGGAUCAGUGGCGAACGGGUGAGUAACACGUGAGCAACCUGCCCCUGACUCUGGGAUAAGCGCUGGAAACGGCGUCUAAUACUGGAUAUGUGACGUGACCGCAUGGUCUGCGUCUGGAAAGAAUUUCGGUUGGGGAUGGGCUCGCGGCCUAUCAGCUUGUUGGUGAGGUAAUGGCUCACCAAGGCGUCNACGGGUAGCCGGCCUGAGAGGGUGACCGGCCACACUGGGACUGAGACACGGCCCAGACUCCUACGGGAGGCAGCAGUGGGGAAUAUUGCACAAUGGGCGCAAGCCUGAUGCAGCAACGCCGCGUGAGGGACGACGGCCUUCGGGUUGUAAACCUCUUUUAGCAGGGAAGAAGCGAAAGUGACGGUACCUGCAGAAAAAGCGCCGGCUAACUACGUGCCAGCAGCCGCGGUAAUACGUAGGGCGCAAGCGUUAUCCGGAAUUAUUGGGCGUAAAGAGCUCGUAGGCGGUUUGUCGCGUCUGCUGUGAAAUCCGGAGGCUCAACCUCCGGCCUGCAGUGGGUACGGGCAGACUAGAGUGCGGUAGGGGAGAUUGGAAUUCCUGGUGUAGCGGUGGAAUGCGCAGAUAUCAGGAGGAACACCG